rnacentral:rRNA from 1 species
AUGGACGCUGGCGGCGUGCCUGAUACAUGCAAGUCGAGCGAACGGACGAGAAGCUUGCUUCUCUGAUGUUAGCGGCGGACGGGUGAGUAACACGUGGAUAACCUACCUAUAAGACUGGGAUAACUUCGGGAAACCGGAGCUAAUACCGGAUAAUAUUUUGAACCGCAUGGUUCAAAAGUGAAAGACGGUCUUGCUGUCACUUAUAGAUGGAUCCGCGCUGCAUUAGCUAGUUGGUAAGGUAACGGCUUACCAAGGCAACGAUGCAUAGCCGACCUGAGAGGGUGAUCGGCCACACUGGAACUGAGACACGGUCCAGACUCCUACGGGAGGCAGCAGUAGGGAAUCUUCCGCAAUGGGCGAAAGCCUGACGGAGCAACGCCGCGUGAGUGAUGAAGGUCUUCGGAUCGUAAAACUCUGUUAUUAGGGAAGAACAUAUGUGUAAGUAACUGUGCACAUCUUGACGGUACCUAAUCAGAAAGCCACGGCUAACUACGUG